rnacentral:lncRNA from 1 species
CAGGGCACAACCAUCAGACGAAGUGGGAGGAAGAAACAUUAACUUCAACAGCUGUUUCUUGACCCCGGCUGUCAGUCUUCCCAAGAAUAAAUUUUGGAGAGUCCUAUUUGAAACAAAGAGGGAGUUUUUGAGGAGAGAAAAGUUGGUUGGUUCCAGGGAGGCCGCCCAAAGAAGCAGGGAACAAGAUGUUUGCAGUUACUACGCAGCCUGCAAGCCUCUGCCGGGUGCAGAGAUGGAGCAAAGUAACUUGAAAGCUCCCCUCUCGGCGCCCUGUGCCUGCAGCUUCCCCCCCUAACGCGCGCCCAGAUCCAGCGCCGGUGGUAAGAGCCGUAGCUCGACUACAGUAAUUCCCCAGCUCGGGCGGCUUGAAACUGCUCGGGCUGAAUAGCAUUUGCUGUUCCGUCCUGCGGCCGCCUCCCGCCGCCGCUGCCGUGCUCCCUGCAAAGCAGCUCUCAUUAUCCCGGAAGUUGUGCUGACACAGUCUCGCUGCCACCAGAAGUUUGUCAACAUCAAACUUCUCCUGUGUGGGGUACGUUCACCUUCCACGAGUAUUUAAUCGAGCCAACAGGCAAACAAACAAACCCAAAUAAACCUGCCCGUG